rnacentral:lncRNA from 12 species
ACAGAGGGAAGCGUUGGGAAAGAGUUGUUACUGUGCCUUUAGCAAUCCUGUAAUUAUUGUUUGCUGUUGUGAUUUCUGUCUCUAUUGCCAUUUCUCUUGGUAAAUCUGUUCCCAUUUGUGUCUUCUACCGAGAGACCUUCAAAUUAAAAAAAAAAAAAAAAGAUUAGCUGAGGUAAGCUGCUGUGUUGACUCCUCAAAGAACCUUAGGAGCUCUGAAGGGUCUGUCUUCCUUCAGUAGCUCAGAAGAGGGCUGAAGAAAACACAGAUGCCUCUAGGGAAGGCUUGCAUUCAUCAGCAAGACAGAGACAACAGGCAAAUGCAGAGGAUUGGGGGUGGAUGUAAAAAACCCUGGAGGUUGGCAGAACCACGGAAUAGAAGCCCAGUUCCCUAAUUACCAUGGAGAAGACCAACCUGCCAAUACUCUGUUGGAUCAUGACAUGCAGGAAAUAAAAUUUUUAUUGUGUCAACCCA